ACACUUAACUGGCAUGAGAGAUGUCAUGAUCGAGAAAGUGUUUUUUGCAGGAUGAGGCUCAUCCUUUGCAUGCUGACCCCCAUGGUUUUCCCAAACAUGAAACACUGGCUGCAUGUUUUGUGGCAGUGGAGAACUACAUUCACACGUUCCUCUGAA
ensembl:snRNA U1 U1 spliceosomal RNA